rnacentral:lncRNA from 1 species
GAGCAUCUAUCACUUAUGCAUUAUUGGUGAACAUGGUGUAUAAAAUUUAUAUAAUGAAAGUUGGAAUCCAAAUAAAAGAUAUGGUAUUUACUUCAAAAAGAUUGAAAUAUUACAUAAAUCUAGCAACUUUUGUAUUAGCUCUCAAAAUUUCCUCCAUAAUGUCUAAAGAUCCCUCAAGUAUGCUCUGCAUGGGAAUAGAAACUUU